rnacentral:rRNA from 1 species
CCAGACUCCUACGGGAGGCAGCAGUGGGGAAUAUUGGGCAAUGGAGGAAACUCUGACCCAGCAAUGCCGCGUGAAUGAAGAAGGUCUUCGGAUUGUAAAGUUCUUUAGUUAGGGAAGAAUAAAAUGACGGUACCUAAAGAAUAAGCCCCGGCUAACUACGUGCCAGCAGCCGCGGUAAUACGUAGGGGGCAAGCGUUAUCCGGAUUUACUGGGUGUAAAGGGAGCGUAGACGGCGGAACAAGUCAGAAGUGAAAACCCGGGGCUCAACCCUGGGAGUGCUUUUGAAACUGUUUGGCUGGAGUGCAGGAGAGGUAAGCGGAAUUCCUAGUGUAGCGGUGAAAUGCGUAGAUAUUAGGAGGAACACCAGUGGCGAAGGCGGCUUACUGGACUGUAACUGACGUUGAGGCUCGAAAGCGUGGGGAGCAAACAGGAUUAGAUACCCGAGUA